rnacentral:rRNA from 1 species
AGUGAACGCUGGCGGUAGGCCUAACACAUGCAAGUCGAACGGAAGCACAGUAAGAGCUUGCUCUUACGGGAGGCGCGUGGCGGACGGGUGCGGAAUACUCCGGAAUAUACUUUUUAGUGGGGGAUAACGUAGGGAAACUUACGCUAAUACAGCAUACGACCUACGGGUGAAAGCCGGGGAUCUUCGGACCUUGUGCGAUAGAAUGAGCCGAUGUCGGAUUAGCUAGAUGGGGGGGUAAAGGCCGACCAAGGCGAAGAUCCGUAGCUCGUCUGAGAGGAUGAUCAGCUACACUGGAUGAGAGACACAGUCCAGACUCCUGCGGGGGGCAGCGGUCGGAACUCUUAGGCGAUGGACGAAUGCCUAAUCCUGCCAUACCGCGUAAAUGCAGAAGGACUUCUGCUUCUAGAAUCCUUAUGUUCUGAAAAUAGAACAGCUCUUUAACACCCGACUGUUCUGACGGUACCCAAAGAAUAAGCCCCGGCUAACUUCGUG